AGCGAACGCUGGCGGCAGGCCUAACACAUGCAAGUCGAACGAAGUCUUCGGACUUAGUGGCGGACGGGUGAGUAACACGUGGGAACGUGCCUUUAGGUUCGGAAUAACUCAGGGAAACUUGUGCUAAUACCGAAUGUGCCCUUCGGGAGAAAGAUUUAUCGCCUUUAGAGCGGCCCGCGUCUGAUUAGCUAGUUGGUGAGGUAAAGGCUCACCAAGGCUACGAUCAGUAGCUGGUCUGAGAGGAUGACCAGCCACAUUGGGACUGAGACACGGCCCAAACUCCUACGGAAGGCAGCAGUGGGGAAUCUUGCGCAAUGGGCGAAAGCCUGACGCAGCCAUGCCGCGUGGAUGAUGAAGGUCUUAGGAUUGUAAAAUCCUUUCACCGGUGAAGAUAAUGACUGUAGCCGGAGAAGAAGCCCCGGCUAACUUCGUGCCAGCCGCCGCCGUAAUAC
rnacentral:rRNA from 1 species